UUCUCAGCCCAGGGUGUUAGCCACAAGACAAAUGAUCCUCUUGAAGGCCUCUGAGGAAAAUACCGUCUGUGGAUGCUUCACUCAGUGGUUGACAGUAAACAGAAGAAAGGAUGAGAUGCUGCAAUACCACUGUAAUGAGGCAUCCAGGUUUAUCCCCAGCUGGAGAAAAGAUACCUAACAAACAUAGCUGCUCUUGCAGGACCACUGCGUGCAGAAGAUAAAUGUCAUCAAGCUCCCAUCUAUUUAUAUGUGCCAUGAAGUUGGAAGCAAGAAAAUGAGAGCUUCAAAAAGGUAAAAUGUGUGUGUGUGUAUCUAUCUAUCUAUAUAAAAAUAAAAGAAAACAAAAUCUUAUCCA
rnacentral:lncRNA from 1 species